rnacentral:rRNA from 1 species
UACAGAGGGUGCAAGCGUUGUUCGGAAUUAUUGGGCGUAAAGCGCGUGUAGGCGGCUUUGCAAGUCGGGUGUGAAAUCCCUCAGCUUAACUGAGGAAGUGCGCCCGAAACUGCCGAGCUUGAGUGCCGGAGAGGAUGGCGGAAUUCCCCAAGUAGAGGUGAAAAUUCGUAGAUAUGGGGGAGGAACACCGGUGGCGAAGGCGGCCAUCUGGACGGUGACUGACGCUGAGACGCGAAAAGCGUGGGGGAGCAAACAGG